ACUCCUACGGGAGGCAGCAGUGGGGAAUAUUGCACAAUGGGGGAAACCCUGAUGCAGCCAUGCCGCGUGUGUGAAGAAGGCCUUGGUUGUAAAGACACUUUCUAGUAGAGAGGAAGGUAGUGUAGUUAACACCUGCAUUAUUUGUACGUUACCUACAGAAGAAGACACCGGCUAACUCCGUGCCAGCAGCCGCGGUAAGUACGGAGGGUGCGAGCGUUAAUCGGAAUUACUGGGCGUAAAGCGCAUGCAGGCGGCCUGUUAAGUCAGAUGUGAAAGCCCGGGGCUUAACCUCGGAAUUGCAUUUGAAACUGGCAGGCUAGAGUCUUGUAGAGGGGUUAGGAAUUUC
rnacentral:rRNA from 1 species